rnacentral:rRNA from 1 species
AGAGUUUGAUCCUGGCUCAGAGCGAACGCUGGCGGCAGGUCUAACACAUGCAAGUCGAACGGACCCUUCGGGGUUAGUGGCGGACGGGUGAGUAACACGUGGGAACGUGCCUUUAGGUUCGGAAUAGCUCCUGGAAACGGGUGGUAAUGCCGAAUGUGCCCUUCGGGGGAAAGAUUUAUCGCCUUUAGAGCGGCCCGCGUCUGAUUAGCUAGUUGGUGGGGUAAUGGCCCACCAAGGCUACGAUCAGUAGCUGGUCUGAGAGGAUGACCAGCCACAUUGGGACUGAGACACGGCCCAAACUCCUACGGGAGGCAGCAGUGGGGAAUCUUGCGCAAUGGGCGAAAGCCUGACGCAGCCAUGCCGCGUGUAUGAUGAAGGUCUUAGGAUUGUAAAAUACUUUCACCGG